rnacentral:rRNA from 1 species
CGCGUGGGAACGUGCCUUGUGCUUGGGAAUAGCUCUGGGAAACCGGGGUAAUACCUGAUGUGCCCUGAGGGGGAAAGGUGGCAACACCGGCACGGGAUCGGCCCGCGUCUGAUUAGGUAGUUGGUGGGGUAACGGCUCACCAAGCCGACGAUCGGUAGCUGGUUUGAGAGGAUGAUCAGCAACACUGGGACUGAGACACGGCCCAGACUCCUACGGGAGGCAGCAGUGGGGAAUCUUAGACAAUGGGCGCAAGCCUGAUCUAGCCAUGCCGCGUGGGUGAUGAAGGCCUUAGGGUCGUAA